rnacentral:rRNA from 1 species
UGGGGAAUCUUCCGCAAUGGACGAAAGUCUGACGGAGCAACGCCGCGUGAGUGAUGACGGCCUUCGGGUUGUAAAGCUCUGUUAAUCGGGACGAAAGGCCUUCUUGCGAAUAGUGAGAAGGAUUGACGGUACCGGAAUAGAAAGCCACGGCUAACUACGUGCCAGCAGCCGCGGUAAUACGUAGGUGGCAAGCGUUGUCCGGAAUUAUUGGGCGUAAAGCGCGCGCAGGCGGAUAGGUCAGUCUGUCUUAAAAGUUCGGGGCCUAACCCCGUGAUGGGAUGGAAACUGCCAAUCUAGAGUAUCGGAGAGGAAAGUGGAAUUCCUAGUGUAGCGGUGAAAUGCGUAGAUAUUAGGAAGAACACCAGUGGCGAAGGCGACUUUCUGGACGAAAACUGACGCUGAGGCGCGAAAGCCAGGGGAGCGAACGGGAUUAGAUACCCCGGUAGUCCUGGCCGUAAACGAUGAGUACUAGGUGUAGGAGGUAUCGACCCCUUCUGUGCCGGAGUUAACGCAAUAAGUACCCCGCCUGGGGAGUACGACCGCAGGGUUG